rnacentral:rRNA from 1 species
CUACUCGCCGCCUGCAUCUUCUCUCGCAAGGUGUGGCACCGCACCCUGGCUUGGUGCAAGCUCACCGUCCACCCUCCGGACAGCAACCUGACCCUCUACGAUUGGUGGCGAGACGCUGCAACCUCCGCCCCCCUCUCGCUACGCAAAGCAUUGGCUUCGAUCGCCCCCCUGGUCACUUGGGCCAUCUGGAAGCAUCGCAAUGCCUGCAUCUUCGAUCAUCGGCAACCCUCGAUUAGCUGCCUACUCUCCUCCAUCCAAGACGACGUGCGUGCCUGGGCAAAUGCCGGCGCCAAAGGGCUACAAGCUAUAAUCGACGCGCUGUAA